rnacentral:rRNA from 1 species
GUCCACGGCCAUGCCACCCUGAAUAAGUCUGAUCCUGUCUGAUCUCGGAAGCUAAGUAAGCAGCAUCGGGCCUGGUUAGUACUUGGAUGGGAGACCACCUAGGAAGACUAGGUGCUGCAAGCG